rfam:Loxodonta africana unplaced genomic scaffold scaffold_14, whole genome shotgun sequence.
ACUUUGGUGGUUCAGUGGUAGAAUUCUCACUUCCAUUUGGAAGACCUGGGUUCAAUUCCUGGCCAAUGCA